GGAUACUUAUACGACUGACGGAAGUAAGUGGAAUGAACCACAUGAAGUAUAAGACUCUUAUAGCCGACCGUCUGGGCAAUUCUU
rnacentral:ncRNA from 2 species